CUACGGGCGGCUGCAGUGGGGAAUAUUGGGCAAUGGGCGCAAGCCUGACCCAGCAACGCCGCGUGAGGGAAGAAGGUUUUCGGAUUGUAAACCUCUGUCCUUGGGGACGAAGAAGUGACGGUACCCAAGGAGGAAGCUCCGGCGUAACUACGUGCCAGCAGCCGCGGUAAUACGCAGGGAGCAAGCGUUGUCCGGAAUUACUGGGCGUAAAGGGUGCGUAGGCGGCAUAUUAAGUCAGGUGUGAAAUACUCGGGCUCAACCCGGGGGCUGCAUUUGAAACUGAUAUGCUUGAGUGUGAGAGAGGAAAGUGGAAUUCCUAGUGUAGCGGUGGAAUGCGUAGAUAUUAGGAGGAACACCAGUGGCGAAGGCGACUUUCUGGCUCAUAACUGACGCUGAGGCACGAAAGCGUGGGGAGCAAACAGGAUUAGAUACCCCCGUAGUC
rnacentral:rRNA from 1 species